UACGUAGGGUGCAAGCGUUAAUCGGAAUUACUGGGCGUAAAGCGUGCGCAGGCGGUUUUGUAAGACAGUGGUGAAAUCCCCGGGCUCAACCUGGGAACUGCCAUUGUGACUGCAAGGCUAGAGUGCGGCAGAGGGGGAUGGAAUUCCGCGUGUAGCAGUGAAAUGCGUAGAUAUGCGGAGGAACACCGAUGGCGAAGGCAAUCCCCUGGGCCUGCACUGACGCUCAUGCACGAAAGCGUGGGGAGCAAACAGGAUUAGA
rnacentral:rRNA from 1 species